rnacentral:rRNA from 1 species
CCUACGGGGGGCAGCAGUGAGGAAUAUUGGUCAAUGGGCGGGAGCCUGAACCAGCCAAGUCGCGUGAGGGACGACGGUCCUAUGGAUUGUAAACCUCUUUUGUCGGGGAACAAAGGCGUCCACGGGUGGGCGGAUGAGUGUACCCGAAGAAAAAGCAUCGGCUAACUCCGUGCCAGCAGCCGCGGUAAUACGGAGGAUGCGAGCGUUAUCCGGAUUUAUUGGGUUUAAAGGGUGCGCAGGCGGAAGAUCAAGUCAGCGGUAAAAUUGAGAGGCUCAACCUCUUCGAGCCGUUGAAACUGGUUUUC